CCUACGCGAGGCAGCAGUGAGGAAUAUUGGUCAAUGGACGAGAGUCUGAACCAGCCAAGUAGCGUGAAGGAAGACUGCCCUAUGGGUUGUAAACUUCUUUUAUAUGGGAAUAAAAUGUUCCACGUGUGGGAUUUUGUAUGUACCAUAUGAAUAAGGAUCGACUAACUCCGCGCCAGCAGCCGCGGUAAUACGGAGGAUCCGAGCGUUAUCCGGAUUAAUUGGGGUUAAAGGGUGCUUAUGUGGAUUGUUAAGUCAGUUGUGAAACUUUGCGGUUCAACCGUAAAAUUGCAGUUGAAACUGGCAGUCAUGAGUACAGUAGAGGUGUGCGGAAUUCGUGGUGUAGCGGUGAAAUGCUUAGAUAUCACGAAGAACUCCGAUUGCGAAGGCAGCUCACUGGACUGCAACUGACACUGAGGCUCGAAAGUGUGGGUAUCAAACAGGAUUAGAGACCGUAGUAGUC
rnacentral:rRNA from 1 species